UGAAUUGGGUUUUAAAUAGUAGAGCAGAAUGUAUAUAUCUUUAGCCUUUUACUAAAGAUUUCCAUGGAGAGGAACAAUUCUGAGUCUUAAUCCAAUGUUUUGUGUCCCUGCGCCUGCAGGGAU
rnacentral:snRNA from 1 species